rnacentral:rRNA from 1 species
UACGUAGGGGGCAAGCGUUGUCCGGAAUCAUUGGGCGUAAAGCGCGCGUAGGCGGCCCUGUAAGUCCGUUGUGAAAGUCAAAGGCUCAACCUUUGAAAGCCGAUGGAUACUGCAGGGCUAGAGUCCGGAAGAGGCGAGUGGAAUUCCUGGUGUAGCGGUGGAAUGCGCAGAUAUCAGGAGGAACACCAAUAGCGAAGGCGGCUCGCUGGGACGGUACUGACGCUAAGGCGCGAAAGCGUGGGGAGCGAACAGG